UGCUCUGCUACCUCAGUGGCUGCAGGGAUAAGAUGGGAUGCCAGCUGCUUAAGGGAAAUCAAUGCAAGUCCAUAUGCAAGGGGAAAGACAAGAUCCUGAAAUCCUAAAAGCACUCAGAUGAAUGCUCACCAGUGGGGGAAAAAACUUAGGGUGACCUUCACCACCAAGAAGACCAGCUGGAGAGGAUCAGUGGAGCAUCACUGGGAUUCAUGAAAUGGCUUCAUUAUCUUAUAGACAAGUAGGUCUUCCUCUCAGAAAUAAAAAGUGCCUGUGGAUACUGAAAACGUGACCACCACCAAAGUGUCCAAGAACCACACUCACAGAGACCAUAAAUGAUGGCUCCACACCUUUGUUGGAGCCUUGGGAAUAAUGCAAAUCAAGCUAGCCACUCUCUUCCACUGGCCUGCUGACUACAGAGGGAGCCCAGAGUGACCAGCUGGUUGGUUUAACUGCUCAGCACUGGAUCACAGGAGCAAGUAACUUUCCUUAAAGAACCCAUCUAAAGUCUGUUCAGGUUUCAGAAACUCGGUGACCAUACUUUGAUGACAAGCCAGAUGGCAGCUGUUCCCCAAGCCCGGUGCCAAGAAAGAUGAUUGGAGCUGCAAUUUACCUUCCGUGGUGAAGCUCAAUGCUGGAGCAUACCACAGCUGUGGAUUUGGCUGCUGCCAGUAGGUGUGUGCACAGUUGGUUUCCUCCCAAUUUGGAUUCAUCAGUUCUCCUACUGUUGAUGAUGAUGAGAAUGUCCCAAAUCCACCACUGGACAAAGAGAAACAGAGAAAGGAAAAUACAACCCAAAAGGUGUGGACUCAGGCAGCUAGGAACUGUAAGCUAAGAAAUAAAGCUUUUUGUGUUAAAAAAAAACCACAACCAAACAAAGCAAACAAAUCAUUCAAAAUCCCAGAAUAAUCCCACCCACUACCUUGUUCACAUUCUCUGCCAUUUCAAAUGGGUUUGCUUUUUUUGCUGGGUGUCGGAACUCAGGACAUCCCUUUGGGAGUCCAGAGUUGCCAGGACCCUUGCCAGGGGGCUCAGAGACCCUGGCACAGAGCCCGGAACACCAGUGGGUUCGAUUACGAACCAUGGAGCAAAUUGCCACCUUUACAUGAAGAGAUAAAAGCCACAGCAGUUUAAAUAGUGUAAGAAUAAAGUUAUCACAGGGUGUAAAUGUAGGUUUUGGAAUUUUUAGUAUAGGCGUUUUUGGGGACAAGAUGGAGGGAUUUGGGUGUGUCUAGCCUUUCUUCUUCCUCUUCUCUACCACCAUCUUCAGUGGUGAUGUUGGCACUUUUAGACUGGUUUAGAGUAGAAGCUCACUGUCUAACAUAGGUGAUAGGUAUUGGAAAAUAAUUGUAAACAUGUUACACGUAGUUUGUAGUAUGUAAAGAUAACACUGCCCUGGGGGCAGGCAGAGUGCCCCUGGCUGUCCUGCUGAGCAGAUCUCGGCUGGGCAGGAGGAAAAUUUUAUAGAUAAGAUACAAUAAACAAUUCAGAGACUGAAAACUGAAGAGCUUCGACUCCUCCUUUGAACGCGCGGGCUGGAGCUGAGACUUUUGACACAUCUCGGGGUCUCAAAACCCAGUGAACUUCCGAGAGCUGGGAUCUUUUAGAAGACCACACUCUGAACUCUGGCAUUCAGACUUGCUCCAAUCGUCCAUGGCAUUCAGCUUCCACUGCAACUUCUUUAGCCACCAUCAGCUCCUGCACUGCUUUCUAAGCAGCGGCAUCAUCAUUUGCCUGUAAAGCCAACUCUGUACUCGACAGUCAAGAAACAAAGAGCACAAACAAGCUUUCAAAUGUACUUCAUUUCAGAACAAAAAAAAAAAAAAAAAAAAAAAAGGAAGAGAAAAACACACCCCCACAAAAAUCAAGAAGCAAACACCAAGCUUUCAGGUGAAAAUGGCGUUUGCUUUGCUUGUUUAAUGAUGUAGUUAGUCACGUUUUUACCCUUCAUCUGAAAAGCAAACAAGAGCAUGUUUAGUUGUGGAGAAGCUUGUGCAGUCCUACUUUAACAAGAUUCCAACCCCUAAGCCUUUUCCCUGCAGUAAUGUCACAUCUCUGUGGAAGCUACAUGGAAAAUCCUUUAAAGAACGUGAGAAACAGGAGCCCAUGUAGUAGCUCACACCACCAGAAAUCACUUUGAACUGAUACACAGUAGUGGGCUGGUGUGAAAAUACUAGGUUGGGAAAUGAUGCUGGGGCCUGGAAAUGCCUCCAUCAGAGGGACAGCAGCUUCAGGCUGGAAAGCAAGCAGUUACCUCAUCAUCAUGAAACCACCUCGAGUCCUGAGUCCAUGAACCUGUUGGAAUGAGUCCAGAGGAGGCCACAAAGAAAAGGCAUGUGAAGGUGAUGAGGACAGAUCUUUUUGGAGCUGCUCAGCACUGGGGAAGGCACGAAGAUAGCAAAAAAAGCCAUGCACUGGGAUAACAGCAGUUCCAGAUGUGUGAAAAGCCCAGCUUGCAUAGAAAAAUAAGAAGAAGAACUUGGCAAAGUUACAAGAGAAGAUUACCUUAUGGAAGAUUACUUAGAGACAAGAGAAAGGGGAUAGUGAGAUGGUGAGGUGCGAGGCAGACUCAAGCUCACACACCUGUGGCCUUGUUGCAGCUUCUCAGAAGAUAAACAAUAAGGUGGGAUCAUGGAUAGAGAGAGUGAAGAGCAGUCUCUGCCAUGAUGAAGGCCAGUGAAGAUAAAGGAAUGAACCACAGAUGAUCUUCAUUGGUCCCUCCGUGACUGCUCUGCUGUGAUUUCUGUGACACGCAUGUACCAACAUAUUUGCCUGUUUAGGUUCCUGUACCACUCCUCCUCCUGCAGAAGCCAAACGCUUCUGGCAUCCUGACAAUUAUGUUUCUCUUCCAAUUUUCUAGGUCUUUCAAAAGAGCAAUCACCUUUCUGUUGCAGCUGCUGACCUCUUGCUUCUGCCUGUUUCUCCAUGUUUUACCAUCCACUUCAGAAAGGGGCUAGCAAUUAUGUGCCUGAUGUUUCCCUAACCCUGACCACCUUGAAAUGUGAUUUUGUGAUUUUUGUUGAAAUGUAGGACAUGGAUCCCUUGCAGGCUUUUACAAACAUGAGAGUUCCCAUGUGUCAUUGACACUGAUGAAUUGCUAGAUCACUACAGAACAACUUGGAAAUGGCAACGGAGCUGGCUCCACUGCAGCUAACUUGAGCUCCUGAGAGGGACCAGAGGGGUUUUUUGAUUCUCUUUAUUACGUGAUAUCAAUUAAGCAUUUAACAAGUUACAAUAAAAAGCAACUUUCCAAUGGAAUUUUUAAUGCAAUGAAAACAAAUUACCUUCAAGAUGGUUAUCAUUUGGAAUCUUGAAGAGAAUGAAAAUAAGGCAAAUGCCAACACAUAUUCAUCCAGAUUGCCCAUAACAACUUGCCAGGCAUCCCUGUUUCAAAUCAAGUAAAUCUGUGUAGCUUCUCUUUGACAGCAACACAAAAUCCCUUGUGAAAUGCAUUGAAUGGCACAGCUGAGGCAGAAUGUUAGCAGAAGAUACUGCGCCAAGCAGCUUUUGUUUUGAAGUGGGUACUUCUGUUAUGCAAUCCUCUUAGAAUUUGCUUCUUUCAAAGAAUGAAAGACCAAAAAAAAAAGCCUCAGCAAACAAAACCCACAAAUCCCAUACAUUUCUCAACUCGGUUGAUAUUUCUCCACUUGGACACAGUCUAUUCACAGCAGUUCCAAACUUCUGGCAUUGGCACAGACUAUAUUUGUCUGUGGUCCUUUACUCCAGCAUUCAGCUGGAGUAAAGGACCAAACAGUGCAUGAUGGCUGGGAUGAAGGUGUUCAGUGGAAGAGAGAGGCUUUAACUCUCUCAACAAGAAUGAUGCCCAUAAACAAAAAAUAGAAGCAGAAUUCACUAAUAUCAACAAUGUGCUUAUUAGGCACAUGAUAACUUUAACAACUCACUUUAAGCCUGAACCUUUCUGAGACUUUCUGUAGUCACAAGGAAGAUGAGACCAUGGACAGAACUCUCUUAAUAUGAAAACGUUAAUUUACUAGCUUAAGAUCUUGUCCACGUAAUUUUGCUUGUAUCCAAGAAAAGGAAACCUAAAACUUCUGAGCCCUUCCUCAAAGGCUCACUUGAGCAACAGGUAUGAGAGAGAAUGCAGCCAGUUGACUCUAUGUACCAUUCCUCACACAAAAGCCAUCCACAAAUGCACUCUCAGGCAUGAGAUGGGGAGAGUAAUAUACUUGAUCCUUUCUCUGCUUUCUUUGCCCUUGGGAGAAGUGGGGAAGGAGGCACGCAGUGGAGAGAAGAUGAGGUGUGGGCUGUGUUUCCUGUCCAUGAGGCACACCAAGGUGAACAGAGUAUGUGUGAGGGCAAAGCACUGCUCAUAAAAGUGGUCUGGGCUCUGCAGGCCACGUGUUUUGAGGGGAGAAACUGUCCCUCACUGAGCUCUCCCACAUUUGUACAACAUAUGACGACGUUACACUUUCGCAGCCUCACUCUACAUAUGUUUUCUCACUAGUGUACACAGUGUUACAGGCACUGUUCCUCCUCCCCCAAACAGAAGAUCUUUUCCUUUCACUCCGGCACAUUGUCAUGGCUGCAGAUCCCUGCUGCUCAUUUUGGGUGUAAUGUCCAUAUGCAAGCACUUCCAGAGAUGUGUUGCUGUCUUUGCAGUACAGGCAGAGAAUUAUCAUCUUUGUCCUCUCCCAUGACCAAUGCUACCUCCACACUGCACGUUUUUGGAGAUUACUUAUUUACUUGCUCCCUCUGCUCUCUGCAGAGUGUAUCCAACAUGUCACAGAGUAAGAAUACACUUGGUGCUUCCCCAAGACAAUAUUAACAGAUUUGGUAUCUUUCAUCUUCUCUGACCUUUUCCAUUAUGUUCUCAGAAGCUCAAAGUCUCAUGACAAUAUGGGCAAAAAACCCUCCAGUGCUCUGUGCACAUAAGUGGGCUUUCUCUUGUGUUGCACUCAAGUUCAGUUAGAUGUUCUUCAGCCUUUGAUCUCCUUUAAUCAGAAGAAGGAAGGAGGCUGAGGAAGGAGAAUAUGAGCUUUCUUUCAUGCUUGUUCUAAUUCUUAGGUCCAAUAAAGAGGACAGAACAAGGUUGCUCAGGGUAUUAAGUGCAAGACAAUCAAAGAAAUGACUGAAAGGAUUCUGCACCCUGCCAGCUAUCCUGAGCUUUGCCCUCACUCAUGUGGCUAAGCUUUGGGGAAGGAGGGCUUCUCUGUUAACAGGGGUUAGUGUCUUUCCUCUCCCACCCCUUUCUCUACCACCUCAUGCUCAUCUUUAUUAGCUUUUUCACACUACACAGUCCUCUCAUCGAUUACAAGGGCCAGCACAAAGCAGCCUAAUGAUGGGUCAGUCUUAAUGAGAAAAGCAGCUGCUUUUGAAGUGGUGUGGCUUCGUCCUGCCCCCUGCCGAGUCCUGGCACGCAGAGCUUUGCCUCCUUUUAGAGAGCAGAGCCAUGGAAAAUCAACAGUGAGCAGCCUGGUGCCUCUGAACAGAAAGGGCCAUGUGCAUGGCUAUUUAGUACUGUAAAAGAGAGAGCAUUUGCACAAACGGGAGGGAACAUAAGGAGGCCUUCAGAGAAGAAUGGGGCCUUGGCAAAUUUAUAGACUCCCCUGAAAGAAAGUGAUUACAGAUCAUUAUCCAAUUGAGGCAGAUUGAUGGGUUAGGGUCAAAGUAAUACUGCAGAGCUCACUGGAGGGACAAUGCCUGCUUGUCAGUUCUGUCCACGAAAAGAAAGAGAAGGGAAACUACCACACAGAGAGGAAAGGCUUAAGCUUUUCCAGCCCUUAUCUUAAAAAUCGUUUCUUAUCUUGAACGUAUCCUUUAAAUAAAAAAAAAUUUAAAAAAGGGAGAAAAAAAAAAAAAGCAAACAAACAAACAAACAAAAACCACCAUGGAAAAAACAUAACCCGAAAUUGCAGGACCAACAUUGCCGUGUUAAAAUUGUGCAUUUGGAAUUGUGAAAUAAUUGUCUGAAUAGUGUGCAAACAGCACACACCCAAAGCCUUGUGAUCAGAACUCUCAGAAAUCACUAGUACUAGCACUAGUAAAGGAUAAAUUGCAUCUUUUUUUCAUUUGUAUUAAAAACCCAAAGAGAUCUUCUAAAAUAAAUGUGUAUAAUUUUUUUCAUUUUGGUGAAAGAAGGACAUUUUGUUAACAGCUAUGGUUGAACUGAUUUGAAACUCUGCAACAUCUGGUCAGGCAAAACUCAGCAACACUGACAUUGAAUAAAACAAGAAUAAAUGUGUU